rnacentral:rRNA from 1 species
AUUGAACGCUGGCGGCAGGCCUAACACAUGCAAGUCGAACGAGUGGCGGACGGGUGAGUAAUGUCUGGGAAACUGCCUGAUGGAGGGGGAUAACUACUGGAAACGGUAGCUAAUACCGCAUACCAUCAGAUGUGCCCAGACGGGAUUCGCUUGUUGUUGGGGUAACGGCUCACCAAGGCGACGAUCACUAGCUGGUCUGAGAGGAUGACCAGCCACACUGGAACUGCGUCUCGGUCCAAACUCCUACGGGAGGCAGCAGUGGGGAAUAUUGCACAAUGGGCGCAGUCCUAGUGCAGCCAGUCCGCGUGUAUGAAGAAGGCCUUCGGGUUGUAAAGUACUUUCAGCGGGGAGGCGUUACCCGCAGAAGGUGCACCGGCUAACUCCGUGCCAGCAGCCGCGGUAGUAC